rnacentral:rRNA from 1 species
UGAACGCUAGCGACAGGCUUAACACAUGCAAGUCGAGGGGCAGCAUAAAGUAAGCAAUACUUGGUGGCGACCGGCGCACGGGUGAGUAACGCGUAUGCAACCUACCUAUCAGAGGGGAAUAACCCGGCGAAAGUCGGACUAAUACCGCAUAAAACAGGGGCACCGCAUGGUGAUAUUUGUUAAAGAAAUUCGCUGAUAGAUGGGCAUGCGUUCCAUUAGGUAGUUGGUGAGGUAACGGCUCACCAAGCCGACGAUGGAUAGGGGAACUGAGAGGUUGGUCCCCCACCACUGGUACUGAGACACGGACCAGACUCCUACGGGAGGCAGCAGUGAGGAAUAUUGGUCAAUGGGCGGGAGCCUGAACCAGCCAAGUCGCGUGAAAGGAAGAAGGAUCUAUGGUUCGUAAACUUCUUUUGCAGGGGAAUAAAGUGCAGGACGUGUCCUGUUUUGUAUGUACCCUGAGAAUAAGGAUCGGCUAACUCCGUGCCAGCAGCGGC